CUAGGCCGACGGGAUCCGGAGGCCUAGUAGGUACAGAGCAGGGGCGGGGCUAAAGCUGCCUGGACGACCAUUAGACCUCUUCCGUCUGGGCGGCGCGGAGACUACAUUUCCCAGAAGGCCUCGCGCGGCGCGGGUUGGGCGGGGGCGGGGAAAAGGAAGCGCCUCGGAGCCAGUGCGCAGGCGUGAGAGUCCCCGCUGGCUACUUAAGGGAGGCUCGCGGGCUGGUCUUCCUUUCGCGUCUGCGGCGCUCUCUGUUCUUCGUUGUCUGCUCUCUGCUCCUCAUCCGAUGUCGUCUCAACCCUGGAAUCAGAAUUUACUACUGUAUGUGAUUUGCGUGAUCAGACGCUACAGAAUGAAUCUUGGUGGAGGGGUCCCUGCUGGGGCUCCAAGAGAACCACGUGUCGACAGGCAAAACCUUCAGCUUCAUGACCUCUGGAGCUCACUGUUGGCAGCAAACAGGCAUUGAAUGGGCCAUGAUGGAUCCAGGAUUGGGAGAGAAUUUGGCCAGAGCCCUGUGUACAUCAGGGCCCUACGUAGGUUGAUGGCGGCCUGAUUUCAGUUUGUUUCAGUUUUGUAACAGGUAAGAUUUCUAUAAAUUUUUGUCUCCUUAGGUGUUAACCCCUUGGUAAAAUGAUGACUGAAUGUGUUGCGGGUAGAGAAGUGUUGGGUUUGCCCACUUGGGAGUGACUUGGGGACCAGUUGCAAUUUGGGUUCCAGGUUACCUUUUGAGUUGAGUUCCAAAAGGGUUGUAAUUCAUUAUGAAAGAUUGAAUUCUUAACAACCUCAAUACAUUACUCCAUGGGCCUCUUUAACAUGGCGGACAGACUUCCCUGUUUGUCCAGUGGCAAGGAGUCUGGGUUUGAUCCCUGGUCAGGGAACUAGAUCCUAUGUGCAUCAACUAAGGCCUGGUACAGCCAAAUCAAUAGAAAAUAUUUUAAAACUACUGCCUUGCCUUAUCACAGUGAGCAGAUCAGGGAGACAGUUUAUACUUUCUGCCUCCUUUCUUAAACAUAACACUUUGUAUGCCUGCUUAUCUACUUUAUAUUCAGAUCCCUCCAUUUGUCCCUAAAGUAUCUUUUUGCAUUUAUUUCAUGCAGAAUGUUGAAUAGAAUCAACAUUUGGCAUAUUAGGAACAAUACAGGCUUGGAUGGGCAGACCCCAGGUUGGAAGUCUCCCUCCUUGGUCUGGUGCUUCACUUUACAUCUUCCUACUUCCCGAAGUCUAGAUACUCCGACAUCCCAAACAAGUAGCCGUUUGCAUCCUAAUGAAGUACUGAUCAUGAUGUAUCUUUCUUUUUAAGGAAUUUCAGCUGUGGAGUCAUGCAAGGCCUCUUGAGAAAGAUGUACGUUUACUUCUGAGAGCAUAAAGGUUUGGGUUGUUGUGUAACCUGAGUGUCCAGAGGUGAAAAGCUUGUGGCUCUUUUGAAGAAUGAAGUAUUAUAUUAAAUUUUGGUUAUUAAGUUUUUAACUGUAGCCUGCCUGUCUGGAGAAAUAAAGUAAAAUCCUUUAAAUGAAAAGGCUGUUUUCUUGAGUCAUUAGAAAGACCUUGAACCAAAUGAUACUGAGUUAAAAGGUGGAUCCCACACUCUACAUUUCUACAGGCAUUUCUGAACAGGUUGUGUACAUUGAAUCAUGGGUUCUGUGCUUUGAAAGCUGAUGAAGAAAAGUGUGGUUGGAGCUAUACCUGCUAGCUUGUUUUCAUUUUACUAAUUUUUUUUUAUAUUUAAGAUUUCAUGGUUUAACCAUGGAAAGUUCCAAACAGACUUGAUGCAAGACUAAUCUGGUUUUAAUUCCCCUGCUUUGUCCCCACUGUACUUUUUACUCUUGUAUAUUCUGACCUGGCUCUUGAUACAGUCUUGAUUCCCUCAGGUCCCUUGAGUCUGGGGACCUAGUGCUUCCAGUGAGCAGAAAACUGACGAGGGAUGGUCUGAUGUAAAAACACUUAAUGACUUGUUGACUUCCACUGAUAGUUUUCCUUCCUAUCUUAACCUCCUAACUUUGAAACAAGCUAGCAAAAAUUAAGAUUGACUUCCAGCCAAUAAGGGCUUCCCUGGGGGCUCAGGCAGUAAAGAAUAAAAGAAUAUGCAGUGCAGGAGACCUGAUUCCCAGGUUGGGAAGCUCCCCUAGAGAAGGAUGGCAACCUACUCUAGUAUUUUUGCCUGGAGAAUUGCCAUGGACAGCAACCUGGUGUGUUGCUGAACAAGAAAGAUUUUAGUCUUGGUUUUUUUUAAAGCUGUAGUGC
rnacentral:lncRNA from 1 species